rnacentral:rRNA from 1 species
UACGGGGGGAGCAAGCGUUGUUCGGAUUUACUGGGCGUAAAGGGCGCGUAGGCGGUCAGCACAAGUCAGUUGUGAAAUCUCCGAGCUUAACUCGGAAAGGUCAACUGAUACUGUGCGACUAGAGUGCGGAAGGGCAACUGGAAUUCUCGGUGUAGCGGUGAAAUGCGUAGAUAUCGAGAGGAACACCUGCGGCGAAGGCAGCUCGCUGGGACGGUACUGACGCUGAGGCGCGAAAGCGUGGGGAGCGAACAGG